AACGAACGCUGGCGGCAUGCCUAACACAUGCAAGUCGAACGGGACCUUCGGGUCUAGUGGCGCACGGGUGCGUAACGCGUGGGAACCUGCCCUUAGGUUCGGAAUAACUCCCCGAAAGGGGUGCUAAUACCGGAUAAUGUCUUCGGACCAAAGAUUUAUCGCCUUUGGAUGGGCCCGCGUUGGAUUAGCUAGUUGGUAGGGUAAAAGCCUACCAAGGCGACGAUCCAUAGCUGGUCUGAGAGGAUGAUCAGCCACACUGGGACUGAGACACGGCCCAGACUCCUACGGGAGGCAGCAGUGGGGAAUAUUGGACAAUGGGCGAAAGCCUGAUCCAGCAAUGCCGCGUGAGUGAUGAAGGCCUUAGGGUUGUAAAGCUCUUUUACCCGGGAUGUUAAGGACGGUACCGGGAGAAUAAGCUCCGGCUAACUCCGU
rnacentral:rRNA from 1 species